GGGUUUUGGUUGUGGAAAGGCGAAAAAUGUAGGAGAGAUAUUUGAAGCCUUUUUGCUAAGUCUUACAGGAAAUAAUGGCGUAAGAUGCUGCAUCACUGCAAACGCAAGGUGAUUCUCGUUCAAAAAUGGCACAUGCUGGUUAGAAAAUAUCAAGUCAGAAGAGCAAUGACGGAAUAACGGUAGAGGAGUUCAAAGACAGCUCGCUCCUGCUCAAAAAUCACACAAUAAGCCAAGGCAGUUCUAAUCCAAUCUAGAGAGUGGAUCAACUACUUCCGUUCUGCGCUCGGAUUUUUGGUUCCUUCUUCUUCAAAUAUCCAAAUGUUCUGUGCCGAAAUUAAUGGAAAAGGUACUGAAAUAUAGAUCAAACUCCAAAGCAGCUGCCUGAAGCUAUCCUAGCUAUGGUGAAGGUGCCUCCGUGUUUAAAUAUCUGUGGGCACCAAAUCUCCAGCCUGUGAUGUCCCCGAUCAAGAAGUAUAUUUAGAGAAAAUGGAAAAAAGAAGUGGAUCAUAGUCUCAGAUCUCAAUGCCAGCAAAAAAAAGAAAAUGAUUAGGAUAUUGUAGUGAAGUAGUCUGUCAGCUGGUGUUCUUCUCUACAUGCGUGCUUUUUCGGGUUACAUCCCUAUAUAUGUGAUUAAUCUUUUCUGUUUUUGAUUAAUUUUAUGUCAGAUGUUUGAUGUAGCUGGAGUUCAUAGUUUCCCUUCUUGUGGGCUAUUCCUGUCUCUGCCUUUAAGAUAAAUGCAUUAAAAUGUUGCAUAGAUUGAAAACAAUCAGACAGCACCGAAUCCAAUCUUCCUUUUUAUUUUUUUCACAUCUCUGAUUGCAUGA